AGCGAACGCUGGCGGCAGGCCUAACACAUGCAAGUCGAGCGCCGUAGCAAUACGGAGCGGCAGACGGGAGAGUAACACGUGGGAACGUACCCUUUGGUUCGGAACAACCCAGGGAAACUUGGGCUAAUACCGGAUAAGCCCUCACGGGGAAAGAUUUAUCGCCGAAGGAUCGGCCCGCGUCUGAUGAGCUAGUUGGUGGGGUAAUGGCCCACCAAGGCGACGAUCAGUAGCUGGUCUGAGAGGAUGAUCAGCCUCACUGGGUCUGAGACACGGCCAAGACUCCUAGGGGAGUGAGCAGUGGGGAAUAUUGGACAAGGGGCGGAAGCCUGGUCCAGCCAUGCCGCGUGGGUGAUGAAGGCCCUAGGGUUGUAAAGCCCUUUCGGCGGGGGAGAUAAUGACGGUACCCGCAGAAGAAGCCCCGGCUAACUUCGUGCCAGCCGCCGCCGUAAGAC
rnacentral:rRNA from 1 species